rnacentral:rRNA from 1 species
GAUGAACGCUGGCGGCGUGCCUAAUACAUGCAAGUCGAGCGAGACUCUUCGGAGUCUAGCGGCGGACGGGUGAGUAACACGUGGGCAACCUGCCUGUAAGACUGGGAUAACACCGGGAAACCGGUGCUAAUACCGGAUAAUCCUUUUCCUCUCAUGAGGAAAAGCUGAAAGUCGGUUUCGGCUGACACUUACAGAUGGGCACGCGGCGCAUUAGCUAGUUGGUGAGGUAACGGCUCACCAAGGCGACGAUGCGUAGCCGACCUGAGAGGGUGAUCGGCCACACUGGGACUGAGACACGGCCCAGACUCCUACGGGAGGCAGCAGUAGGGAAUCUUCCACAAUGGACGAAAGUCUGAUGGAGCAACGCCGCGUGAGCGAUGAAGGCCGUCGGGUCGUAAAGCUCUGUUGUUAGGGAAGAACAAGUACCGGAGUAACUGCCGGUACCUUGACGGUACCUAACCAGAAAGCCACGGCUAACUACGUGCCAGCCGCCGCAGUAA